rnacentral:rRNA from 1 species
AGUGAACGCUGGCGGCAGGCCUAACACAUGCAAGUCGAACGGCAGCACAGCAGUAGCAAUACUGUGGGUGGCGAGUGGCGGACGGGUGAGGAAUACAUCGGAAUCUGCCUAGUCGUGGGGGAUAACGUAGGGAAACUUACGCUAAUACCGCAUACGACCUACGGGUGAAAGCGGGGGAUCGCAAGACCUCGCGCGAUUAGAUGAGCCGAUGUCCGAUUAGCUAGUUGGCGGGGUAAUGGCCCACCAAGGCGACGAUCGGUAGCUGGUCUGAGAGGAUGAUCAGCCACACUGGAACUGAGACACGGUCCAGACUCCUACGGGAGGCAGCAGUGGGGAAUAUUGGACAAAUGGGCGCAAGCCUGAUCCAGCCAUGCCGCGUGGGUGAAGAAGGCC